rnacentral:rRNA from 1 species
CGUGAGUGAUGAAGGCUUUCGGGUCGUAAAACUCUGUUGUUAGGGAAGAACAAGUGCUAGUUGAAUAAGCUGGCACCUUGACGGUACCUAACCAGAAAGCCACGGCUAACUACGUGCCAGCAGCCGCGGUAAUACGUAGGUGGCAAGCGUUAUCCGGAAUUAUUGGGCGUAAAGCGCGCGCAGGUGGUUUCUUAAGUCUGAUGUGAAAGCCCACGGCUCAACCGUGGAGGGUCAUUGGAAACUGGGAGACUUGAGUGCAGAAGAGGAAAGUGGAAUUCCAUGUGUAGCGGUGAAAUGCGUAGAGAUAUGGAGGAACACCAGUGGCGAAGGCGACUUUCUGGUCUGUAACUGACACUGAGGCGCGAAAGCGUGGGGAGCAAACAGGAUUAGAUACCCUGGUAGUCCACGCCGUAAACGAUGAGUGCUAAGUGUUAGAGGGUUUCCGCCCUUUAGUGCUGAAGUUAACGCAUUAAGCACUCCGCCUGGGGAGUACGGCCGCAAGGCUGAAACUCAAAGGAAUUGACGGGGA